GACGAAGGAUGCAAGCGUUAUCCGGAUUCAUUGGGUUUAAAGGGAGCGUAGGUGGCCUGCUAAGUCAGUGGUGAAAUCUCUGGGCUUAACCCAGAAAUUGCCAUUGAUACUGGUGGGCUUGAGUGCAGUUGCUGUUGGCGGAAUAUGACAUGUAGUGGUGAAAUACAUAGAGAUGUCAUAGAACACCGAUUGCGAAGGCAGCUAACAAAACUAUAACUGACACUGAGGCUCGAAAGUGUGGGGAUCAAACAGG
rnacentral:rRNA from 1 species